rnacentral:rRNA from 1 species
GCUUGCUAUUUUUAUGAAGAGCGGCGAACGGGUGAGUAACGCGUGGGAAAUCUGCCGAGUAGCGGGGGACAACGUUUGGAAACGAACGCUAAUACCGCAUAACAAUGAGAAUCGCAUGAUUCUUAUUUAAAAGAAGCAAUUGCUUCACUACUUGAUGAUCCCGCGUUGUAUUAGCUAGUUGGUAGUGUAAAGGACUACCAAGGCGAUGAUACAUAGCCGACCUGAGAGGGUGAUCGGCCACACUGGGACUGAGACACGGCCCAGACUCCUACGGGAGGCAGCAGUAGGGAAUCUUCGGCAAUGGGGGCAACCCUGACCGAGCAACGCCGCGUGAGUGAAGGAGGUUUUCGGAUCGUAAAACUCUGUUGUUAGAGAAGAACGUUAAGUAGAGUGGAAAAUUACUUAAGUGACGGUAUCUAACCAGAAAGGGACGGCUAACUACGUGCCAGCAGCCGCGGUAAUACGUAGGUCCCAAGCGUUGUCCGGAUUUAUUGGGCCGU